rnacentral:rRNA from 1 species
CCUACGGGUGGCUGCAGUAGGGAAUAUUGGACAAUGGGCGGAAGCCUGAUCCAGCCAUGCCGCGUGCAGGAAGAAGGCGUUAUGCGUUGUAAACUGCUUUUGAUCAGGAAUAAAAAGACCCUGCGGGGUAAAUUGAAUGUACUGAUAGAAUAAGCCACGGCUAACUACGUGCCAGCAGCCGCGGUAAUACGUAGGUGGCAAGCGUUAUCCGGAUUUAUUGGGUUUAAAGGGAGCGUAGGCGGUUUUGUAAGUCAGUGGUGAAAGACGGUCGCUCA